rnacentral:rRNA from 1 species
UGAGGAAUAUUGCGCAAUGGAGGCAACUCUGACGCAGCCAUGCCGCGUGCAGGAAGAAGGCGCUACGCGUUGUAAACUGCUUUUAUCCGGGAAGAAACCCCAGGACGUGUCCUGGGUUGACGGUACCGGAGGAAUAAGCACCGGCUAACUUCGUGCCAGCAGCCGCGGUAAUACGAAGGGUGCAAGCGUUAUCCGGAUUCAUUGGGUUUAAAGGGUGCGUAGGCGGAACAAUAAGUCAGCGGUGAAAUCCUGCAGCUCAACUGUAGAAUUGCCGUUGAUACUGCUGUUCUUGAGUACGUUUGACGUGGGCGGAAUGUGCCGUGUAGCGGUGAAAUGCUUAGAUAUGGCACAGAACACCGAUAGUGAAGACAGCUCACGAAGACGAAACUGACGCUGAGGCACGAAAGCGUGGGGAUCAAACA